AAGUUUAAACCGACAAUACCUCCAAAUGCCCGAAGGCUCUGUUCCGAAACCACAGAGCAAGGCCUAUUGAAGGAGUUCAUGGUGCAGUCGAUGGUGAAGUCUCCUAGUGAUAAACUUCCAUGUACAUUGCCUCCCCCAUUUAAGCCUCAAGCCAUUCAAGCUUCUCUCAAGGCAAAAGACAAAAUAGCUAGACAAGUGGAGACGUGGGAGACUGAAUAUUGGAAAAAACUAAAAGCAUAAGCAGCAUUAGAUAGCUAGAAACCAAACCUCUCUUUCUCGUUUAGUUUUCAUAAACUUCAAUUAGUUUUCAUAAACUUCAAUUAGUUUAGCCAAUUAAGAGAAUAAAUAUUCCACACUACAGUUUGGUGCUUGUUAGCCAAAGUAGCUUCCGCCUUUUUCUUUUUAAAACUACAAGCAGUUAGUCUACAUAAAUACCUAUUUUUUGAAUAGUUUUUACUUAGGGAUAAAAUUCCGAGUCAAAUCUUAUUAUUAUUUUCAUUAUGUGUAUGUAAUUUUUUAUUGUCAUCAAAUUCAAUUGAUAGAUGACAUUAACUCAAUCUGACGGAAGUAGAAUGCUUACGUGGGGGAAUACUUCAAUUUGAUACAAGGAUGGGCCUGAUCCGUCAGCCCAAUGCAUAUUUCUGGAAUGUGAUCCAGUGACUUUAUUUUAUAUAUAUAUAAGGCCUUUGUUUGUAUGACUUCUUAAUCAAGGACAUGGUGCCAUUGCGGUGUUGGGCACUACAGAAAACAACAAGUGUUGCGGUGGAAUUGGGUAACCCACCCUUAUCCUACUAACAAGUUUGGUUUUCUAAAUUCUCAAAUUUGGAUAGCAUUUUCCGUCACCAGCCAUAGGAAUGGCUGUCCGCAAAUUCGUACAAAGCGAUCUAUUACUGUAAUGUAUAUGAUUACAUGUGAUCCGCUUAUCAAAUGAGGAGUAAUGGCAUGCUCGCAACCUUGUAAAUGGAAAAAGAAAUUAUGAUACAUGUCCCGUGGUGAUUGGACUUUCCAUUAUUAAUCGAAAUUUUAGACUCUAAAAAUAAAUACAAAUAAAAGUACAAUAUGUCAAUUAAGUUUUAACUCGGUUGGUAUGAGUUUAAGUACAUUGAAGCACAUUAUCUUCUAUUUUAUAAAUUGAGGAGGGGCUAUAAGUAUUAUAUCAAAAAGAGCAGAUAUGAUUAAAACUUAUAAUGAAAUUAUAUAAAAUAAUAAUAAUAAAAUAAAAGUACAACAUAUGCCAUAAAUAGAGGUUGGGCCGAGUUUGAGUCUAGCCUAUGCAAGGUAUUUAGAUCAAAUUUUCAAGUCCGGAUUUGACUCGGCCCGAAAAAUAGGCUUUUUUUUUUGCCUAAGUCCAGCCUAAUUUAAGAAAAGUAAAUCUAGGUCUGGCCCAACCCACCCAUACUUAAUUUUUUAGAUUAGUUUUUAUUUAAAAAUAUUUUAAAAAAAUAUAUAUAAUGCUCUAAAAAAAGGCUAAAAUAAAAAUUUUCUUACACACUAAAAAUUCUUUAUAUUAAAAAAACACUACCAUCGAUAUAAUAAAUAUUUUAUUGUAGUAAAUAUAAAUUUUAAAAAUUUACAUUUUGGGUUGGGUUAUUUAGUUGAAUUUUUUUUUUUAGAUUUUGGAUAAUGAGUUUAAUUGUUAUUAAGUUAGUGAUUUAAUAUAAAUAUAAAAAUAUAUAUAAUUAAGGCUCAAGUUAAAAAAAUAAUUGCCCAAGGCUUGACCCAUAUAAAAAAUGGGCCUUAGAUUUUAUCCAAGUCUAUUUUUCGGCCUCGUAUUUUGUCAAAAUCCUUUUUUUUUCUAACAGACCUUCGAGCCUAGAUAGAUAGUCCGAUUCAUAAACAAGUCUAAUUACAAAUUAUUAACUUCUUUUAAAUUAUUAAUUAUAGCAUAUAAUUACCAUUUGGAUGAUAUAAUCUCUCAAUUUUUUAUUGAUAGAAUUAAAAAAUUAGGAUAAUUAUUUAAUACAUUAGAAUGGAAACUGGACCUAUUUAUUGUUAAAAUGUUUAAAUAUAACUGACAAAAAUAAUUAUUCAAAAAAGUUAAAUCAGUAUUUCUUCAUCUUUGUCCCCUCCUCUUGCCUGAGAAAAAUCAAUAGCUUAUGGUUUACGGAAUUUAAUUCAGUGAUGAAAGUCAAAUCGUAACACUGCUGCUUGAUUUUGACCUUGUUCUUUUCUCCAAGUUUUCACUACCUGAUCAUCUCAGUUUUGCAGCUCCAUCUCCACUUUAUACGCUUGAAUUACAGGUAUAUGAUGAUCUUCGUUUUUUUUUUCUUCUAUUUCUGUAUAUGAUUAAUGAUUACUCUCAUACAACAAGAUCAGACUAUGUUUUACAUGCACGAUCAAGUUUUUCAAUUCUUAAUGAUUUUAGAGAUUGUUCUUUGAUUUGUUUUGUGAAUAUGUAUGAUAGAAGUCUCCUUCAAACGUGUUGAAUCAUAAAUAUUUCUUGAGUCUUUGAAUAACGUUAACAUAGAUUGGUUUUGCCCAAACAUUUAUUUCUAUGGUUUAAUAAUAGUAGUGGUUUCAAAUAUAAUUAAAAAGCUAGGACUGUAUCCACGUCAACUAAAGUCUCUACAAGCAAAAGUUAACCCUCCAAAUUGAAUCGGGUUGAAUAUGCAUGCCAACUCAUUAAUUAGUCAAAAUAAAUAUUUAAGGCAAUUUAUAAUGUCUUGCCUUAUAGGGAGGAUAUGCAUUUAUAUGUAUAUAUACCAAGGCAUUGAAGCAGGAAUAGGGCUGUGGGGGAGCUUGGGAAAUACGGUUUCCAUGGCGGAUCGUGUUCAAAUAUUUCAAGGGGUUAGGGCUUACGGUGAUGAAGUCAUUCAUGGCUGCUUUUCAAAGGUUGGUGUUGGACGCCUCAAGGGAUUGGUCUCAACAACUACUACCUUCAUAUUCUUCUUCUUCCUCCUUAUUGCUGCUCUGCUUAACCGGAUGGAAAUUGUAAGUCUCCCUCAAAACCUGUUGCUUUCCUUCAUCAUUUCACUUUUUUUUUUUAAAUCAUUUUUUAAUAGGAUGAAAAGUACUAAAAAAACCCUUCAUCAAUUCAACCUUUAAUCCAAAAAUAAGCUCUUUGAAUUGUCAUUUUCGUUAAAAUCAACAUGGCGGGUGACGUGAUGGCUAAGCGUGGAUGGUUUAAUUUUUUUUUAGGAUAGCUUAAUUGAUUUUUAAUUAUUUUAGGAGAGUUUAAUUGAUUUUUAGGGAUUAUAUAAAAAUUUUCAACAAAUUAUAUUUAAUUAUUUAAUAUUAUAGAAUUAUAGAAAAUUAUAUAAAUAUAAUUAAAAUGAUAAAAAUUCUAUAAAAUUAAUAAAAAAUUAUAAAAACUUAUUGAAAGUAUAAAAAUUUGUAAAAAAAAAUAAAAAAUAAAUAUAUGUAUAAGAAAAUUAUAGUUUUUUUUAAGGUUUGGAUUAGAUUUUAAUGGAGGAGCUUUAAGUCUGAUGAUAAUUUGAUUUGGAUGGGGUCUCGAGUAAAGGAUCUUAGAAAUAAUGGAUUUAGUAUUUGGUGGUUUAAAGUGAGUGAUAAGUUUUAGUUGAGGAUAGGUAAUCGAUGCACCUUGAUAAGGUGAAAAAACAAAAAAUGAGUAGUAAUUUUUAUUAAAAAGUUUUAAAAAUUAGUAGAAAUUACUAAAAAAAUCAAUUAAGCCCUCAAUGUCAUCGUUUUUCCACGUCAUCCGCCAUGUCAGCACUUAAUGGUCCGUCAGGGGCCUUAAUAGAAAUGACAAUGCAGAGGACCCAAUUGAUUGUUAUUUUUGAAGUAAUAUUCUAAUUGCGUACACUUUUUAAGUAGGGGUCCAAUUGAUUUUCGAGGAGUUUUUUCAUUACUUUUAACUUUUUAAUAAAUAAAAUUUUGAGGGAAAAAAUAACUUAAUAAUUAAAUUAACUGUCAAAUUAUAAAAUUCAUCUUUUUAUUUUACUGAAAUAAAUAAAUUAAACCCUUUAAUUUUUUUAUUUUAAUUUGUCAAAAUUCGAUCUUUUCACUUUAUGAAAAUUAAAAAUUUGGUCUAUUUAUUAAUAAACAUGUGAACUUGAUUGGUUGGUUUUUAAAUAAGUGUUGAAUGUUUUUGUGUAUUCUUUUUCACCAAUUAUACUAAAAGAAUUAGUUUAUUUAUUUUUAUAAAAUAAAGGGUAAAAUUCAUUAUUAAAUUUUAAAAACACAAAUUUGCAAUGAUAAUUAGUAAGGUAUAGUAAUCGAUUUAAUCGGUUGGUUCGAUCAAUUUUUUUUCGAAUCGACUUAACUAAUUUUAAUAUGAGAAAAUUGAUCCGACCAACUUUAAUUGAACAAACCGGUCAAACCAAACUAACAUUGAUUUGGUCAAUUCAGUCGAAUUUUUAGUUAACAAAUUCGAAUUUUGUUGGUUAAGUUUAAAAUUAUUGAGUUGAGUUUAUAUGAUAAAAUAUUUAUUAUAUAUUACAUAAAAUAAAUAUAGUUUAAAUAAUUAGAAAAUAUUAUAAAAUAAGUCCCUACCCAACUAAAUAAAAAUAAAAAUAUUCUGUUGUGUUAAUUUUUUCGAUUUUUCAGUUAAAAUUGAGUAUUACUUCCCUAGUAAUUACCACAUAUAUAUUUGUUGAAAUAAUUAAUUUUUUAAAAAAAGUUACAAAUUUGAAUUUUUAAAAAAAUAUAUUCAUUAGUACAAUUAUAGUAUAUAUUAAGUGACUGAUUGAGUUAGUGUUAUUUAUUAAUUGGUUUCAUCUCAGUUAUAAAAUUAUCAAAUUAACCAAUCAUUUUACAAAGUAAUAAAUGUGGUGUGAGGGCUUUUUUUUCUUUUCUUUUCUUUUUGUGAUAAAUAAGAGAAUAAAGAAACAAAAUUACAAAACACAAUUCAAACCCCUUAGCGGAGAAGUUUCAAAAAUUUGCAACCCUUGCUCAUUUAUGUGAGCCAACUUUGUCAAUCCGUUAGCUUCUUGAUUCUUUUCUCUAGGACCAAUAUUGAGUCUGUGCUAGCAGUUAAAGUGAGUCCAUCUGAUUAGUCUCUUGGAUGGCACUAGCCACUUCAAUAAAAAUAAUUUUACAUAAAAACAUAUCUAUAAUAGUAUUUGAACAAUAUUUUAAUUUUACCAUUUUACUGAAUUGUUUUUAUAUAAAGUUUUAGGAAAUAUAUUUAUUAAAUAAAUUUUUUGACAGUAUAUAUCAUAAUUAUUUUGUACAACUUUACAAAUAAAAUUGAGUUUGUACCAUGGGUCUAUAACUCGUAUUUAAAAUUUUAAAAAUAAAUAAAUUAAAUGUGUAGCAAAAUCUCACUGAGUUCAAAAUAUGUAUACCAUUAGAUUUCCAUAUUUCGAAUUUUGAGAAUAACAGAAUAAUGCAAUUUUUUUUUUUUGUUUUUUUUGUUUUUUGAUCUACUUGUUUCUCAGCGGGGCACUUCAAUUGGACAGUCGAUUUUUGACUCACGAACUUCUAAAACUUAUCAUGAGAGGAUUGAAUUUCCUCUAAAUUGCUCUAAUUCAGUUAAUUUACCCCAAACAUGCCCGGAGAAUUACCCGUCGGUGUUCCAGCCCCAAGAAUCAUCGGCUAGAACUUGCCCAGAUUACUUCCGGUGGAUCCACCAAGAUUUAAAGCAAUGGAAGAGUUCGGGGAUUACAGAAGACAUGAUCGAAAGGGGAAAACCCAGUGCGGAUUUCAGGCUCGUCAUUGUCAACGGAAAGGCCUAUGUGGAGAAGUACAACAAGCCAUAUCAAACCAGGGAUGUAUUUACAAUAUGGGGCAUUUUGCAGCUUCUAAGGUUGUACCCUGGAAAGGUACCAGACUUGGACCUUUUGUUCUAUAGUGGAGACAAGACUAUGAUCAUGAAAAGAGACUACAAAGGACUCAAUGCUACAUCACCACCGCCGGCUUUUCAUUACUGUGGAGAGAAAGCAGCACUGGACAUUGUGUUCCCUGAUUGGACCUUCUGGGGAUGGUAAAUUCUGCUACAUAUUGCCUAAAUUCACACGACGUUAAUGGAGAAAAAAAUGCCUAGUGUUUAUAACUUUUUACUGCAAUUAUCUAGUUAAUCAUAUUUACUUUGCUUUGUCCUGGCAGGGCGGAGGUGAAUAUAAAGCCAUGGGAGGAGACGUUGAGAGCAAUAAAGAAAGGGAGGGAGAGGAUAAAGUGGGAAAAGAGGGAACCUUAUGCCUACUGGAAGGGUAACCCAUACGUUGCUAAAGAUCGGGUAGAUCUUUUGAAAUGCAACCUUUCAGAUAAAAACGACUGGAAUGUUCGGAUUUAUAAGCAGGUGCUUCCUGAAUUAUUAUGUUUCUUCUUUGUGUCAUUGAUGGGCAGGGCUUUUAUAAAUGGAUUGAAAUCAUAAGAAACUUAGGCAACGCCAAGCCAAAUGGGUAACUCUGUGUUUGUAACUCUAAUUGGUUAUUAAUUCAGGAUUGGGGCAAAGAAAGUCAACAAGGGUUCAAGCAUUCGAAAUUGGAAGAUCAAUGUACCCAUAGGUAUACAUAUGCAAAACCCUUUUUUUCUCCUCCUUAUGGAAGGUUUUUAAAUUUUCAAUUUUAAGCAACUUUCAGUCUAAUGAGAUUUUUCAACUUUGCUGCGGUACAAUCUAUAUAAAGAUAUAAAAUCUAUAUAGAAGGAGCAACUUGGUCUGUAAGUGAGAAAUACAUACUGGCAUGUGAUAGCAUGACGUUGUUGAUAAAGCCUAAAUACUAUGAUUUCUUCUCGAGAAGUAUGGUGUCGAUGCAGCAUUACUGGCCUAUCCGUCGCAAAAACAAAUGCAGGGAUCUUAAGUUUGCAGUUGAAUGGGGCAAUAAUCACCCUCACGAGGUACAUAUCCUCAACAAAUGAAAACAUGGAUUGCAAUGAAUUCAAUCAUGUAUAUCUAUCUCUUAAGAAAAUAUAUAAUGUACCUUCAAUUUCGCUUUAUAAACUUGCAGGCACAGGCCAUAGGGAAAGCAGGAAGCAAAUUUAUCGAAGAGACUCUGACAAUGCGAAAUGUGUAUGACUACAUGUUUCAUUUGUUGAACGAAUACUCCAAACUCUUGAAGUUUAAACCAACAGUCCCUUCAAAAGCCCACAGGGUCUGUGCCGAAUCCGUAGCAUGCUUGCAGAAAGGUUUAUGGAAGGAUUUCAUGGUGCAGUCAAUGGUGAAGUCUCCUAGUCAUGAACUUCCAUGUGCAUUGCCUCCCCCAUAUGAACCUCAAGCCAUUCAAGCUUCUCUCGACAGAGAAGACAAAAUAACAAGGCAAGUGGAGACGUGGGAGACAGAAUAUUGGAAAAAAACUAAACCAUAAGAAUCAAUAGAAAGCUAGAAACCUCUCUUUCUCGUUUUUUUCUUUCAUCAACAU
rnacentral:lncRNA from 1 species